UACGUAGGGGGCUAGCGUUGUCCGGAUUUAUUGGCGUAAAGAGCGUGUAGCGGCCAGAUAGGUCUGCUGUGAAAACUCGAGGCUCAACCUCGAGAUGUCGCGAACCAUUUGGCUAGAGUCGGAAGAGGAAAGUGGAAUUCCUGGUGUAGCGGUGAAAUGCGCAGAUAUCAGGAAGAACACCCGUGGCGAAGGCGCUUCUGGACGGUACUGACGCUGAGGAGCGAAAGGCGUGGGGAGCGAACAGG
rnacentral:rRNA from 1 species